AAAUUUUGAAAUUAGGGUAGUUUGUUGCGAAAUAUAGGAAUAUAAAUGAACUGCCACAUAAAAAAAAAGGGACAUCAAAAUUUUGAAAUGAGAAUAAAUUAGUUACAAAAUGAGAAUAGAGGGAAUAUAGAUAAAUCAUUUUUUUAAAAAUAAUAGUAACAAGUUUGUUACAAAUAAUCUUUUUUAACAAUUUAUAGAAUGGAUAUAGGAGUAUAAAUGAACUGCCAUAGGACAAAAUAGGAAUACUCGCGUAUCUAUUUAAGAAAAUAAAUAACGUUUAUUUUUAAGAAUUAAACAAUUCACUCUAAUAAAAGACUCGAAACUACUUAAUCUAAUCUAAUAUGUCUUAUAAUAACAUAAUUAAUUCGUUGUGCCGUGCUGGGGUUGCUUUUCGCUGGCAGGAGAACAAGCGCCCCAACCAAUGUUUAGUGUACAAAUGCCCUCGGACAAAAGGUCCAAUGCUUUCAACUGCUGUGAUCUGGCCCAUUCCAGGCUAUCAGGAGUCUUAUGUACGCCUAAAAGUUGGGCCUCGUCGGAGUAGAUUUGAGCCGCUGCUCCGCUGACCUCGUCUGUGAGAAUUAUGGUCAAUUGGCUAAAGAAUGGAACCUUGGACGCGAACUCCAGAGAAUAUUCAAGAACAUAACGGAAUGGGCUAGGCCCUUGCGCAGUUCAGAGACCUGAUAUUGUAAACAAGGUCAAAAUACAUUGAGCUUAUGUAAACCAUAAAUCAUUUAGAUUUGUCUAUCCAACAUUUCAAUUUAUUUGAUUUAACUCGAUUAAUAUCAUUUUAAUUAUAAAAUUUAGAUUAAUUACUUAUUUUAAUGAACUUAUAAUUGUGAGAAUUGUAUGAAAUAUAUUAACUAAACUUGUAAAUAUAAACAAUAUAUUCAAAUUUUAAAGUUAAAGUAUCGUUUGUGGGCUCAAGACAAAUAAAUUUUAAGAUUAAUUAGUAAAAUCAAAAAAAAAAAACACAGAUAGUAAAAUUUAAAUGGUGCAUAGUUCAAAUAAGUUUUAUAUGUUUUUACCAUAAAUAAAUGUAUGUCCGUGGGAUAGAAAAUUGUAAUAAAAUUUAUGCUUCUGCCAAGUUACCAACCGCAACCGUCUCCGAGAAGUUGGAUUGAAAGCUAAAUAAUUUUUAUUUUAGUAUAAAAAUGAAACACUCCAACUUUAGUUUUUAAACCCGAAAUUUCAAAUUCUAACUCCUAAAAAAAAAUAUUAUAACAAUAUUAUUAUUAUUUAUAAUUAUUAUGCUAUAAAAGAAAGCCUAAGAGUUUUACUGAAAAUGAAAAAUAUUUGGCUAUUAAACAAUAUAUUCAUUGACUUUAUUCUCUUUCGCAUAAAUUCUCUUUCAAUCGCCACCACAGUACCACUACUCUCUAAGUUGAGAAAUGCCUUACUUUUACUUCUGUUCUUGUCUUGAAAUAUUUAUUCUUCCAAAGGUUGGUUUCUAUCAAAAGGGCCCAUGUGGGUUGGUUCAUGACUACACGUAAAUAAAGAUAAAAGAUCAAUGGUUCACAAUCAGAAUCAGAUGUCGGCGGGCCGCCCACUCAUGUUUUAUUCAUUCUGACUUAAAUCGUCCUAUAAGACGAAGUCGAUUUCCAUAGCCCAGCCUACUACUCACCUACAUCAGAAAAGAGCAAGAGGGUUGUAGUGUUGGGCCGAAUGAGAGAGCUACCUGCUUUCUUUUAUGUUUGCUACCUGGAGUGCAAAUUAUGCAAGUAGUUAAAUUAAUACAUGGCAAUUAAAUCUCUAAUUUUUGGCUUUAAAUUUAAAUAAUGGAAUUUUGAUUACAAAUAUUGAAUUUAAUUUUAAAUUCAAAUUAAAAUUUUGAUUUCAAAUUUUGAAAUGUUAUUUAGAGUUUGUGAAUUCAAAGUGGAAAUUUGUUCUACUUCUAAUAUUAAGAUUUUAAGAUUAAUGUAUUAAUAUAUUAAAUUUUUGAAUUUUCUUUCUUUCUAAAAUAUUUCUAAGAAAUAAGAUAAAUAUUUUAAAAUAUGUAGUUGGUGUUAUUAUGCCUGUAGUUCUUUUAAUAUAAAUAAAUAAAAUAUAACUACACAGCGCUUUUCGGCCCUAUCUGAUAGUCGGACCUAGAAUAUGUUAGAAGGCCUAUUUGCUCGGACGACACCUUGGGGCUAUUUUCCAUUGUUUUUACAGUGACUGGACCCUGCAAUAAAGCAAAAGCUAAUGAAUUUGGCACUGAGCCAAACUUUCAACAGAAUUUUGAUACCUUAGUAGAAUACUAGAAUGGCAUUUUAUUAAAUAUGUCGUAAAGAUGAACUUUCGGAAAUAGAAUGGUUAAAUAGGUCUUAAAAUAUUUUGGAAUAAAUAUGUUUUCAGUGGCUUUUUAAAAGUACAUUUUAUUUUAUUUUAUACAUGAAAUAGAAAUAAGAUAAUACGUAGUAUUGCAACAUUACUGAUUGAAAAGAAAAUUAUUGACAUUUUGGGUUCAGCUUUAGCAUGACCAUGGUCCACGAGUACCCCGUCCAUAGGAUGCAUGCUGAGGCCCACAGACCUUCAAAUGGCUGUUAAGGCUAAUCCAAAUAUCAACCUGUACCAUUUUGAUUUUCCGAUUCCUGGUUGACAUAGCUGGGAUGUUUUCGGCCCGGGGCCAUUAGCCUAUGUAAAGUUGGAUAGUAGACUGGAAACCCAAGGACGGCUACAUGAACUUAUAUUUUGGGGCUGGGCUGUACCAUGACUACAAAGACCUUUGAUUUGCCAAAAUAAGGACCGAGUAAAGGGCCUAUUCCAUGGAGUCGGAACCUCAAAAAGACCAUCCUAAGCUCUCCAAUUUGACUUGAAAGGUUUUCUGCCUUGAUUUUGUUUCUGCAGUGGCAUUGUUUGUUCAAAGUUUCUUCUUCAAAUUGCCACCACUAAUCUCUAGGCUAAGAAAAACCCAAUCUAUAUCAUCCUCUAACAACAAGCUACCAGUAACAUUGAAAUAUUUAUUCUUCCAACGGUAGGGAUCGGUGGCUUUUGUACAAUAAAAUGUCCUGGCAAAGACAGCACGGCUCACAAUCCGGUCCGGUGUCUUCAAAAAAUUCCUAUUAUUGCUAGCUAUUUCGUAUAGUAAGAAAUAGAACUUGCUCAAACGACUCUUAAUGGUGUAGCUAGACCACGUUCUCGGUUAAAAUUGGCCCUAAGCGUCAGAAACACCAUUUCAAUGGCCCAGCCCAUUACUCACAUUGGUGCUCGGUUCUAACCAAUCUUCAUACUAAUGUUGGCCUAAGUAUAUCAAUGGCCUACGCCCCCUAUUUUCAUAAGGUCGCUGAGCUGAAAAUGGCAACAGCCUCAAGCUAUAUCUUGACGGCACUCAAUAUUUGUAUCCACACUAAUAUUUAGGGUAUUUCAUGUAUAGGUAGAUCAUAUUCUUAGUUAGAACUGGCCCAAGGAAUCAUGAACUUGAUUUCAGUAGCCCAGCCUACUUUCAUAGGGCUCGACAUUUGUAUCCACACCAAUAUUAGGGUAUUUCACGUAGGUGGAUCACAUUCUAGUUAGAACUUAGAACUGGCCCAAAGAUUCAUGAAUUUGAUUUGAAUAAUCUAACCUACUUUUCAUCGAUAUUAUCAAAGGCAAUAGGGGUUUUGGGCUGCCUUACCCACGCCCUUGGUAUUUUUGUUCGUGGUAACUGUGCUUUUAACCCAAUCUUCAUACUAGUGUUGGACCUCAUUAAUAUAACCAGAAUACACUCUUACUACAACUGGCCCAACACAUCAUCAACUAUACUAAUGACCAACCCGCUAAUCGCAGGCUGAGAAAGGGCCCAGUACAUCCCAUCGUACCUUAUUAGGCCUUGUUCACAUGGCUAUAUGAUAUUGUUAAUUACAGCGGGACAAACUAUCAAAAAUUCAUUUCUACAGCAUAACCCGCUAAUCAUCGGCCUAUGAGACAGAGUUCGCGGGCUGAAAAAGAAGCCCAGCUCCCGCCAUUCUUCUCUCCUAGUUUCUCCAACCUUCACAGUGAUGUUGGCUCUACUAAGGAGAUAAAAUCUAUAGGCCGAGAAAGGGCUUAGUCGAUGUCAUUAUUGUAUGAUGUGGAAUUUGUAUUACUAAGCCCGCCCCAUUCAAGCCGGAUGAACAAAGGCACUGGUCCAAUGUGAUGGGGCCAAUAUCAUGCAAGCACAAUUAGGCCGGUCUGGUUAAGAUCUGAGUUUCUUUGACGCUCAUUGGUCUAAGUUUUGCAAUCUUCUAAGUUCUAAUCCCUGGGCGUAUCUAAUGCCCUCCCAUCAGAUUUAGCCUGAUACCCAUGUCUAGGCCUAUUUUCCAUGGGGGCCCGCUUCUGUACCUAUUUUACCCCAAAAAAUGCAUAGUCCCAUUUGUGGACCUUUACAGAUUAGGUCGGUCGUCACUGCAGGCCGGGCUAAAUCUGAUGAUCGAAAGUGGUCAGUUGCACAAACGGCCUUGGUCUUUCAGCAAAAUAAAAAUUCCUGCCACCAAUUUGAUCUCGGGCAAAAUGAAAGCAACCAAAAUGAACUCGCCUGCUGUAACAUGAGAUUUAAAUUUCCAAUGAGUAAGGGUGCAGUAAUAUAAAUUUUUAUUUGCUAAACAUUUGAUUUAUAAAUGAAUUAAGAUGCUGUUCGGCCUCAUAGAUCAUAUUUUCGUUUGAUCAAGCCCAAAGCAUUAUUAAGAUAUUGCUAGGCCUUAUACAAGAUCGUAGUCUUAGUUUGAUCACACUCAAAACAUAAUAAACCGCGAAAUAUCACACACUACAGCCAUGUCUUUAUUGAUGCACAUGAUCUAACAGUCCAGCAAAAAGCCCAGCCCAUGUGAUUCCCAUACAACCGCCCCAAGACUGCCGAGAGAAUGAGCGACGCACAAAGAGGAAGUACAAAGGAAAAAAGAAUAAAAAAGAGCUUCUUGGCAGUUCCAAUUAGGCCCACAAUUUGCCUAACUCUCUUGUUUUUUUCUAUUUUCGUUAAAAUCAUGUGAUUGUAAUGUUUCUAGUUAGUCACUAAAUAAAAACCCUCCGAAAUAGCAUCAAAAUUAAAAGUUUUAUUAUUCAUGGGCCUAACAAACAACAAAACGAGGAAUUGCUCAAGCUUUCUAUAAAAUGACGCAUGACUCUGUAAAUCAAAUCCGCAUUAAACUUCACAUGUAGAGUUAAACUGCGCCUUAACAAAACUUGGUUUGUUGGAAUCUUUUCCACCUGAUUAGCAUGGAUCGCUUCUGAAUUGAAAGCUAUUCUUCUAUCACCAUUUCUGCGCCUAAUUUUUCCCUGAGCGGGUCGGCCCAUUUUCUUAAACAGACCUCUUGAAUAAAUCGGUUCGGGGUUGUUGCUGCUGGACUGGAUCCAAUAUUUAUUUUUGGACUGGCUUAAAUAUCAACGGUUGGGCCUAGUGGUGAAAUGUUGUCACGCUACAUAAUAAAAUACAUACAGAAUAGUAAAAUGUUAACAAAAACUAAUACAAUCGAGAAGCCGUAGCCCCUAGGGCGUGCGCUUUAAUUAAAAAGUACAUCACAUUUACAUUUACAAUUACAAUUAAAAUAAAGAUGAUCAAUAAUUCUCGCAAGCACAACUGGGCCGGCCUGGUUAAGGCCUUAGCAUCUUCUUUGCUUAUAGGUCCGGGCUUCGCUCCUAACCACAUGGGGCCUAGCCAGUAUCCACGCCCUGCCAUAAAAUCAUUUGGACGGGCUUGGGUUUCGCCCUUCUAUGCGUUCCUUCGGGCGGGAAGCCUAGGCAAAACCCAAAGUCCCUCGUUCGAAAAUACUCUCGUGUACCUCAAUCCGCCGUCUCCUUUCGCCCUCGGAUCGCUCGAUUUCUUCAAUCGAAUACACUCCCCUUCGAACGCAGGAUUCCUUCAAUCCAAAAACCCUAGUGAAAUCCUCUCCUCGCCCCUCCCCUUCGAUGGCCCGAUUCCUCCUAUCGACCAACCCUAGAGCCAACCCCUCCGUUCCCUCCGAUCUCGCCCGAUUUCUCCAAUCGAGAAACCAUGGGGCGAACUUUAGUUAGAUCGCUCGAUCCUGUUUGUGGAAACGAAGCUUCUUGUUGGAGCCAAGGUUUCUGAACGGAAGAGGUAAUCAAUCUACUCGUGUUCCUCGAUGUUGAAAUCUCUUUUAUUCAGCUCUUAGUUUUAUUUUCUGUGCUAGGGUGUAUUCUACUUAGAUUGCUUUAUCAUGUAUGCGGAAACUCUCUCAAUUGGAGGCCGAGAAAGGUUCUCAUUAGGGUUUCUGGUGGGUAGAGUUAAUUUAUCUUUUCGUGUUCAUUGAUUGUGAAAUUUCUUAAUUCAACUCUUUAGUUUCAAUAUAUGUUUGGCCAUUUCAUGAGUUGAUAUCAUUUGUCGUGAUUUAAUGAUGAAUCCAUGUUUUUUGGAUUUUCGUGUGCAUCUAUUUCAGUAUUUUCUCUCAGAAAUUAUGAACCCUACAUUCAGACAGCACUGCUUUCUCUCAGAGACCACGACUUUAGAUUCACUUCCAUUUCUUAACUAGAUUAUUUUUUUUUGAGAGAAGUUUCUUAACUAGAUUAGAUGAAUCUAUGGUCCAACGCUAGCAUGGAUCUAAGGUUGAUGAUGAGAUUGCCUCGUCGAGCCAAAUUUAGAUAGGUGACCCUGAGAUCCGAGCCUUCUUCAGGUGGUAUAAUCUGCUAUCUUUUUUACUAACUUUACAUGUCUCUUCAUGGCAUAUAUCUGCUCUGCAUACGAUUUUUAAGAAAUGUAGAUUAAUUGAUCACCAAGUGAGUCAAUAGGAUAGCUGCCGACUCUUCUUAGAAAAAAGUUUACAACGGCAGCAAGACUACUCAAGUUUAGCUAAUGACAAGGAUAACUUUCCUCUUCUUCAUCUUUCCUCUUCCUGUACUACAGACACUGUCUAUUGUAGAUGCUUUGUAAUAAAAGCAUUGCAGCGGACAAGAAAAGUAAGCAUCAAACCAGGAAAUUUGAAUUAAAUUUGGCCUUUCUCUUCAGCCAUUUGGGUUUGGAUUGGCCUUCCCUUCACUUAAAUCAAAUCAGGUUGGACAUAUGUUUACCCAUGUAAUGUUAUUAUUUGAAAGCUAACCCAACUUACCCAAUCAAGUACACAGGAGUAGCACUAUCCGAUGAGGCGUAUCUUCUCUAAAAAGUCAUAUCUAUUGCUCUUUAUUCUGAUUUUAUUGAUUGAUCGCCAGAAUCUACAGUUCCUCUCAGAAAACCUCCUCUAAUGUUUCUUUUACAAUUCUUUCCAACGGAAAAGUUAUAAACAAAUGUAGAAACGAAGACACGGUAUGAUUCCCUUCCUUGGGAUAUUUUGUUGUCCGUAAUGGAUCAUUCUUUCUUGUAAAGAUCCAGACGGAUAUGUGCUUUGCAGUGGAAGAGGCUUUGCAUCUCCCACUUUCAACUGUGCUAUUUCUACUUGCGUAGUAUUACUAGUAAUUGCUUCAAAUAGUAUGAUUUCCUGCCUUUGGAACUGCAAUCACUUUCCUCUGCAUCAACUUAACCUUGCGGAGGUGAUGCGUGCAUUCUUUGACUGCAGUCGUCUUGUAUUUGGCAACAAUUCUGAUGAAGUUGAUGCGGACGUGGAAUCAAAUCUUGCGCGAGAAAGUCAUGGGCAACCCAUUCAGCGGCAGAGCGAAAGGUCCAAACUGUAUUCCACUCUGCAAUCCUGAUACAGACCACCUGACGGAGGAAAAUACAACAUCCACACAAGCAAUCAGUCAGUCUUUCAGAAGAAAUCUGACUAUGCACAUAUUUUUUAAAAGUUAAUAUAGCUGACAUUUGCUGUGAAAAAAUACGGCUAGACAUUGACGGGCUAGUUGUUAUUGACAUUUGUAGGAAAUAUUAGAUGAUCGUGAAAUGACGUUGUCUUUGGGCCAGGAUACCGACCUGUAUUUGGUCGUGAGGUGAUGGAGCAGGACCAGCAUCUCCAGCUUGGCCAGCUCGUUACCAGGGCACGAGUGGGACCCAUUUCCAAACGGCAUGAAGGUAUUGGGCUUUGGAGAAACCUGAACAAGGUUCGGGAGGAAAAAAUGUAAGAGACGAUCCACUUUGGUCUCAGCUUUGCGUACAAAUUAACGCCGCACAAUAUAACCCUUUUGUUCAAAUGUUUAUGUUUUUUUUUUUUUUUUUUCCCCCCCCCCCUCAUUUCUCUUACCUCAAAUCUGGAGGGAUCAAACUUUUCUGGGUUGGGAAAGUUGUCGGGGCUGUGAUGAAUGUUUCUGAAGAGUGGCAUCACUUUCCAUCCCUUUGGAAUGAGAUACCCUGCAUUACCAAAUAACCGCAAGUCAAACCAAGGGACGCGACAAAAUGCAAGUUGAAAGAAGAAGAAGAAGAAGAAGAAGAAGAACCGACCUUCGAGCUCGACAUCUUGCACAGCUUCUCUGAAGGUGAAGGAUAGGAUAGAGGCGACCCUCAUCGUCUCCUGAAUUACCCUCGAAGUCAUCGGCAUCCUCUUGGUAUCAGCCCAACUCAGAGACUUCUCUUCCUCAUCCACUACUUUGCUGUUCAUGAUUUCCUCCUGCUCUUCCUGGCCAAAUGAUCAGAGCAGAUCAAAAUCAGAUUUUUUCCCAUCAAUAUAUUAAUUAAUAAGAGAAUGCAUGGGGGAGGGACAGGGAGAGAGGAGGUUACAGUGACGGCUUGCAGGACGGCGGGAUUCUCUCCAAGGAACUUGACGAUCCAGGUGAGCACACUUGCUGUAGUAUCUCUCGCGGCGAAGAUGACGCCAAUGAUGUUGUCACUGAUCUGCUCUUCGGUGAGGGCUUCCUUAGCCUCCAUGAAAGACCUGAGCAGGCCGCCGGCAUCGCCGACCUUCUUCUCUCUCCGGGAUGAGAUGAUCUUGGCCACAAUCUGGCCCAGCUGCUUCCUCGCCUUCAUUGCUUUGUGGAAGAGGGUUCCGGGCAGGUUGAUGGGCAUGGAGUUAUAGCCCUUCUCCAGAGUGUAGUAGCACUGCUUCAGUUCCUCCAUGUACGAAAUUUCAUCCUUGCCGAAUAUAGACAGGAGCGCCACAUUCAAUGCAUACUGAAAAAGGGUAGCACACGAGGUACGGGAGUAGAGUGAGAAUCACCAUUCCAACUACACAGUAUGUUGCCAUGUUGGGGGCAGAAAGGGUGUCUAUUUGGACCGAAAAAGAUGCCAACAAAAUCCAACUGAAUCAAAACUUUUAAUUUUUUUGCAAACUGGUUUGAUUUGGGUUCCCAAUUUUCUGAAGACCAAAUUUUCCAAACCUUUCAUCUCAAUCUUUCCCUUCCUACCACCCCCUAAAGCUCGCUGCCGUGCCGCCUCUUCCAUUUUUUUUAAUUUUAUUUUUGUUUUUGCAUAUGGAAUGUUUUGUCGACUUUGAUCNUUUUUAGUCCUUGGAUGGAGAGAUGUGAGGUUGAGAUGAUGGGGGUAGGUGGUGGUAGGUGGAAUGGUGUUUGAUCCAAGGGCUAUUUGUAAUCAAAAAGUAGAUCUAAUGGCUAAAAAAGUGAUAGCAACAUGGGGAUGAUACUUGUAAAAGUAUUCUAGAUCAACUCUAUAUAUAUAUAUAUUUAAAAAAAAAAAACUCGCUCAACCGGUUUGGUAAACUGACUUGAAACCGGAAAACGGAUCAACCGGGGUCCGGGACAGGUUUGAAAUUUUCCCGGUUCGGGACCAAAUUUUUGGCCGGUUUCACCCCUGGACAAGAGUGGCGGUGGGAAGAAGAAGAUUGGGGGACUGACCGUCUUCAUCUCCUGGAAGGUGUUGACCAUGCGGCCGUCCCAGGAGCGGAGGGCGCAGAGGGCGACGGAUUCAAUGUUGGGGACGAAGCCUCGGAUUCCGUCUGGCAUGAAGGCGCGGAGGACGAGGCGUCUGAGGCGGGCGUGGUACUCCCCCUGCUGGAAGAAGAUGGCCUGGGGGCCCAGCAUGCACUCCUUACUGGCCGGAAAGGUGGGCUUGAACAGGUGAGCCCGCGUGACCAGAACCAGCCUGGCCGCCUCCGGGCUCGACACCAUCACGCAGGGGCACCCCAGUAUGUGGGUCUUGAAGAUCGACCCGUACCUAUAUAUAUAUAUAUAUAUAUAUAUGUAUAUAUAUAAAUACAUAAAUUAUACAUGGGCGAGCGAGGUAACAAUUUGGACCACCCCUCACAGCGAAUUAGUAAAGCAUCAGUCGUUGAUUUUCGAUCUACUGCUGACCUCUUCUGUUUGAGGGCGAAGAAGAUGUUGGGGUUGCUGUUGGAGUAGAGCUGGAAGGUCUCUCCGAUGUAGGGCCAGCCCAUGGAGCCCGGCGGCAGAGGCAGCUUACGCGCCGGCGCUGUGGCAGCGGCGGCAGAAGCGGAGGAAGAGAAGGCCCUCAGGGCCAGACGAUACGCGAGGUAGAGGAAGAGGAGGCAUGCGAUCAUCAGGACGGACGGCAGGAGCAGCGAGGAUGAAAGGAUUGCGGUAAUGGAGGAGGUAUAAGCGCUGGGACUCAUUGCUGCCGGCCACCGAAAGCCGGAGGAGGAGAGAGGGGAAGGGGAAGGAGGAGGAGAGGGGGAGGGAUCGAGUUACUCUCGGCUGCUGAUCAGGGCCUGGUUAAUAAUGGCUUUCAGUUCAGUUUUAAUCUAGUUGUGGUGGUGCUGCGUGGGGCGGAAGGGAGAGACGGAGAGGUAUUUAUAAGGGACGGAGUGGGGGAAAGGGGCAAACUAAUACAGCUCGAAGCCACCCAUAGAAUCCCGCUCCAGCUCACUCGAUCCUAUGAAUACCAUUUGAAUGGCGUGGUGAAAGGGAGUGGAAGGAGGAAUUCUACACUGUCAUACUUGCACCAUGUCAUCAAUAACAAGCCAAUCACAUUCCUUUUUUUUAAACAAAAGUACAAUAAAAAUAUUUUUUUACAAUCAUAAUGGGACGUAUAUUCAUAAAAAGAUUAAUUUGAUUGGUUUGUUACGCCACGUCACUAAUAUACCCGUUACAUUCUAGAAUUUUUCGAGUGGAAGGGCGAGGAAACCGGGUAAGAGAGCGAGAGCAGGAGAUGGGAUGGGUGGUGAAUCGGGCGAGCGACACGUGUCGGUCAGCGCUGGGUAUCGAGAGUUGACCGAGCUACCAAAAGUGAGUCCUAGAUUUGGUGAGGAUUUUAAACCUGCUGGUACCUCCUCCUCCUCAGAAGAAGUCGGAUCAGUUCCAGAGUGAACUGACCAAUUGCUAUUAAAGAAUAAUUAAAAGAUACGUUCUUUCCAUAUUCUAGUUCAAUGUUUUUUUCUUUCUUUCCUUUUAUAAGAAGUUUUUUUAGUUUCCAGUUGUAUGUAUGGAAACGGGGCGGGUUGGUUGAAUCCUUUUUGAUGUUUCGGGGUUAUUUGAAUUGAAUAGUUCUGAGUUUCAGCUUUUAAUAUCAAAUUUGAUCCUGUAAAAGUUAUCACCAAUAUUUAAUCUGCAUAUUCAACAAUCAAUUUUCUCGGUAACAUUGUUUGAUAAUGAAGUAUUACUGUUUGACGGAAAUUUGUUUACCAACGUGCAUGUAAAGUAACAAUUUAUGUUUUCUUUCGCUAAAUUGAGUGCUGCUACCCCAGCCACGAUUUUACUUGGGAAUAUUUCAGAGCCAAAUAAACUUGAGGUGAUAGCAUUUAUGCCGAGUAGUAAAUUUCGUUAAUAAUUGUGGUGUUAUUGUUUUCCACAUGCCAGUUGUAAUUUGUCUCCUAGAGAGGGAGAGUGCGGAUUUAAAUCAUCCGUGGGAUUGAGCAGGAUAGCCGGUCGGACUUAAUCAAGGGGCAAGCGUUGGGAAUCUUGGGAUUGACCAGGAGAGCCGAUUGGGGCUAAUCAAGGGGCAAGUGUCCUUGUCAACGACCAACUAAAUUCGGGUGGGUUUCUCUCUCCAUAACAUGCACCCAAAAGAAGCAAAAACAAAACAAAAAAAGGAAACAAGAAAAGAAAAAAGAAAAAAAGAGUGUGCAGCUCCUGUUGGAUCAGAAAAAGAGGCAUGCAGCGCCAUGUUGAAGUCCCACGUGUCUAUCGAGCAGCCAGAAGGGCGAUUUCAGCGCAAGAGAGUCGAUUUCUUAUCUUAGCCUAAUUGAAAAAUAAAUUUAUCAAGAGAGUUAGAGAGAUUUAAUAUUUUUAAUAUCUUAUUUCAACUGAUUAAAAAAAAAAUAAAAUAUUAAAUCUCUCUAACUCUCUCUCUCUCUCCUCCCCCCACCUCUCUUCACCUCGACCCCCACCCCCACCAUCCUCUAGCCUUCUCUCUCGAACUCACUCUCUCCUCCCUCUCUCGGUGGGGGAGGAGAGAGUGAGAUAGAGAGAGAACCGGUGGUGGGAGGGGGAGGAGAGAGAGAGAACUAGAGAGAGAUCUGGUGGGGAGGGGGAGGAGAGAGAGAUAGUUAGAGAGAGAACCGGUGGAGAGAGGGGAGGGUAGAGAGAGAGAAUUAGAGAAAGAAAAGUAAGUAGCCCGGAAAGAGAGAAAAAGAUCUCUCUUAACUAUCACUAAAAAUAAAAUUUUAACUCUUUUCUUUUUUCUUUUUUUUGUGAAAGAGAUAGAUAGCAUGCUAUCGAUUUCAUUUAUUUCAUUUAAAAAUAAAUUUAGCUGAAAAUGUGAAUCAAUUAGAAUUUGAACUUGGGUCACAGGUACCGACCACCAAACUCUUUGCCGCUUGCUUUAGGGACGGUCGGCAACUAUUUCUUUUCUUAAUCAGUUGAAAUGAGACUAGAUUAAAAAAUAUUUUGAGAAUAAGACUGGAUUGGUAAAUAUCUUUUUCACUAAGACUAGACAACAAAUUCGUUCAUCAAAAGAACACCUGUUGGAUGUGCUUGGCCUCCUCUCACAGUUAACUUAGCCAAACUGAAAGCGAUCCAACUCGAUUCUCAAUCAAUUUCAUAGUUUCUCUCCAAAUCGGGUUAAUCUUAGUUUAGGCCACACAAAAUCAUUCUGUACCAUUCACUCUCUGCUGAAAAUAUAUAUAAACACACACAGGUGCAUGGAGAAAUAUGUAAAUAGUGAAUAUUGUGUCUUCAAUACCACAAGAGUAUCUCAGAAAAAAAUUAAAAAUAAAACAAUUUAAAUCGGUUAAUAACAUAACAUCAAGUGACCGACCGUCCCUAAAGCAAGUGACAAAAGGCUUGGUGGUUGGUAUCCGAGACCCAAGUUCGAAUCAUAACUGAUUCACAUUUCCAGCUAAGUUUAUUUCUAAAUGAAAUAAACGAAACGGCUAGUGUGCUAUCUAUCUCUCUCAAAAAAAAAAAAGAAAAAAAAAAGAAAAAAAAAAGAACAUAACAUCAAGUGAUUUUUUUCAAGUUAGCAUUCUUUUUACAUUAACUUGACAGAUCUAAUAUUAACUUUCUAAAAUAUUAAAAUAUUAUUGUUAAAAAUUUGUACAUAAGAUAUUAUUGGAAAUUUUGAUUUUGGUUAAACAAAAUUCCCUACGUUUUUCCGAAGUCACAUGCCGCUCUUGUCGAGAUUUGUGCCGAGAGAAAAAUCAGACAUUGGACAGCUCAACUAGAUAGCCAGAAUAAAUGGUGGGUCUAGAGACUCUAAGACAGAGGAGGGUUAAUUAGUUAAUGAGGACACCCCGGCCGCAAGAUCCCGUCUCCUCGACCGUACAGCAAACCAGGCCACGCCCACCCAGGAGGCCAAGAUCAUUGCAUAAUUCUGAAUAUACAUGUUUCCCCUGAUCACCUAUCCUUCCCAUUUACAUCAGAGAAUCAUGACGAGCACUGUGGUCCCGAAUUUAAUAAAAGUUUUUCAUCUAUUGCGGCUUUGGACGCCAACUCAGAUACACUGAUUACUUAGUCGCCAGUUCCUGGUGGCUCUGAUAGUGACUCGACCAACAGCAGGCUAUUUAUUUAUUUAUUUCUUUUUUUCUUCGGGCAUCUGAUAAUAAUAAUAUUAUAUCGGAUAUGCACGUAGAUUUAAAAUUAUUUUUAGCCACACAAAUAAUUUUUAAAAUCUUUCCUUGAUAGCACGAAUCAGAUGAUGUAUGGAACUAAGAUUAUACAGAACAAGGGAAAAUGAAAGAUGAAUCGAACCCAAAAAGAGGAGGAAUAAAUGUGCACGCGUGAAAGAUCAGUAGUAUUAACUGAAUGGCCCCUUAAUUUGGUAGCCUAAUGCCCAGAGAGAGCAUGUAGACGUGUAGUAGCAGGUCCAUUGCAACACCGGAAGAAGGGGGGGGCAGAGUUGGACAACUUCCUAAUCAAUUAUUGGACUGAAAAGUGACGAACUUCAGCCCGAAAACUGUUAAAACUUUUGGCGAAUGACAUCCGAAUUAAAGGUGAUGAUGUAUCGCCACAAAUGCUGUUUGUGUUGUUUCCCAUCAACUCCUACACGCGUUUAAUUUCUAAAAUUUAAUGAAGUAGGGCGCAUGCACUUGACCUUGCCGCGUGGGAGAAAAUAAAAAAGUAAUAUAAUAAUAAUAAUAAUAAUAAUAAUAAAUUAUAUGAGCUGAGGUAUGUAGUUUGCCUAAUAUCUUGGUUCUUUGGAGAGGCCGAGGGCCACGACGCACUAUAAUGCGAUAAUGCGACAAGGCACGCCUCCCUUCCUCCUCUGCGAACAUGAAUUUUCCCAGAUAUUUUGCUAUAAUAAAGUUACAGCUGAUCAGUAAGGUCACUGUGUUAAAUUAUAUACAAAACGAUCGAGAUAUAUUAACAUUAACAUGAGCGCCUUAUCUCUUAUCAGAUCUAUAUAUGGUCUCAUCUUCUGUCGAGACGGAUAUGUAAUAAAGCUAUGGAAAAGAUCGACGUAGUAAUUGGAGAGCGUAGAUUAGUUAAUCCUCCACUAAUAAAAACCGAUCGAGCUAGCCCAGAUCAUAUUGCCUGGACUCAUAACAGUUCUUUAUAAGUACAUCAAUGCAUGCAAUUAUUUUUCCCGUUUCCUAAGAAAGACAAUAGCUAGUAGCCUUAGGAACUGAAACGAAUAAAGACUUAAUUAAGGAGUGCGCGCCCCAUUCAAAUGUGGGGCAGGGAGUAUAUAUGUGUCAACCAUAUGAUGGAACUUGAAGGCCAUCUUUGUUACGAAUACGCAGAAGUAGACGAAUUAAUUAAUUAAUUAAUUAAUGUCGUUCUCGAGCUUCUUUAUUUGAAUAGAAAGGAGAUUAAAAAAAAAAAUCAUCCGCUUGUUCCGCAAUUGGUUAUAUAAAUAUAUCUUUGGAUUAACAUUAAAAAAAAGAAAAGAAAAAAAAGAGUACGUACUGCAUCCUAUAUAUAUUCCUAUGGAUACUGAAAAAAUGCAUUAAUUGUCACUGUAGAAUUAAUACUGAUGCGUUAUAUAAUAAUAAAAAUUAAUGUAAAAAUUUGUUCUACUUUAAAGUACAUAUUAAUUCGCCCACGGUAGAGGGGGAGGAUCGAGCCCGUACAAGCGAGCACUAAGCGGCAAGCAUAAGCAAGCAAGGCAACGAACAAAGAAGGCUAAACAGCCAGCGCGGAGGGGGACUAAUUAAUCCUAAUCUCACGCUCCAGCUGUUUUAUGUCGUUUUGCUGCACCAUUCCCUGACGGAUGGAUGGGGACGCGUGUGGGUCGCACACCGGCCGGCCGGCCGGAUGGAGCCGGAACUACUUUGCGGCCGCCACCACCGCUUUAGUUAAUUUAAUAAUAUUACAUAUUAGAAAUAAUAUUUUUUAGUCAAUUAUUUUUUAUCUUAUGGUCCUAUUUAAAUAUCCAAAUAAAAUAUCUAAUUAAUGUUGACUUAUUUGGCGUAUAUUUAUAUAUUUAUAUGUUUGUAAGGUGAAAGUUUGAAUUUUUUCUCUCUCUCUCUCUCACUAGUCACUACAAGAUUACUUAUUUUAUUUCACAAAUUAAUUUUAUUCAUUUUAAAUAUUUGACCAUAUUUUCUAUAUAGUAAAUAACAUAUGCCGUUGGAAUAAAAUAAAAAGAUAUUUUGAAGAAGAUGCGCAGCUGUCCAAACAGAACAUAUGCAAAAAAUAUAAAUUUUUUAAUAUUAUUUUAAUAUAAAACUAUUAAUAUUAUUUUUGAGUGGAAUUUACUUUUAAUAUAAAACAGAAUAUAUGCUCCAGCUGUUUGGUUCGGGGAUAGGCAAAAAGUGACUAUUCUGAUAAUAGGUAUAAAUUGAGGUAUAAGCGGGGAUUAGAUCAAUUUUGCGUUUGGAUGAAAAUUGGGUAAUUCUUAGGAAUAAGAAAAAUAGCAUAUGGUUAGGUGAUGUGGAAUAAGAAUUAAAGUGGGUAGUUAUAAAUAAAAAAUAAUGAUAUUACCCUUCUUAUUAUAUUUAAUUUUGAAUUUUUAUAUUAUAUAUAUUUUUAAAUUUUUUCAGAAAGAAUAGGAGUGGGAACAAUUAAUAAAAAUAAUUUAUAAUAAUAAAUUUAUAAUUUUGAUAAUAAUAAAUUUUUUAAUAAAUUUAUAAUAUUUUUAUUAAAUUUAUAAUUUUUAAAAUUCUACUUAAAUUUAAAUUUAAUAAAAAAUAAUAUUUUAUAAUAUUUAAAUAUAAUUUAUUAUAAAAUGUAUUAUAAUAUUUAAUAUUUAAAUAUAAAAAAUAUGUAUUAAUAUAGUACAAUUAAUAAUUUUAUAAUAAAAAUAGUAUAUUAUAAUAUAUAACAUAUUAUAUUUAUAUAAUUUAAUUUUAAUUUAAUUUAUAAUUUUAAUAAAGUUUGAAACUAAACAUUGAAAUAGCACUAUUCCAUCAAAAUGGUGGAAUAAUAAAUCCCAAGCUAUUCCGGGAUAGUCGGGAAUAGCAAGGUUUGACCGGAAUAAAAUAUUCCGGUCAAAAAUUAUUUCGUUUGACGGAAUAGCGGAGAUAACUUUCGUUAUGCCCGCUUAUACCGCCAACCAAACGGAGUCCUAAAAUAUAGGUGUAAAGACAACACCUUA
rnacentral:lncRNA from 1 species